rnacentral:rRNA from 1 species
CAGUAGCCGCGGGAAUACGGAGGGUGCAAGCGUUAAUCGGAAUUACUGGGCGUAAAGCGCACGCAGGCGGUUUGUUAAGUCAGAUGUGAAAUCCCCGAGCUUAACUUGGGAACUGCAUUUGAAACUGGCAAGCUAGAGUCUUGUAGAGGGGGGUAGAAUUCCAGGUGUAGUGGUGAAAUGCGUAGAGAUCUGGAGGAAUACCGGUGGCGAAGGCGGCCCCCUGGACGAAGACUGACGCUCAGGUACGAAAGCGUGGGGAGCAAACAGGAUUAGAUACCCGAGUAGUCCCUGUCUCUUAUAC